AAUGGAGUACAGGUGGUGGCAUGGUUGUCGUCAGCUCGUGCCGUGAGGUGUUGGGUUAAGUCCCGCAACGAGCGCAACCCUCAUUGUUAGUUACUACCAUUCAGUUGAGGACUCUAAUGAGACUGCCAACGACAAGUUGGAGGAAGGUGGGGAUGACGUCAAAUCAUCAUGCCCUUUAUGACCUGGGCUACAAACAUACUACAAUGGCCAAUACAAAGAGAUGCGAAGCGGUGACGUGGAGCGAACCUCAGAAAGUUGGUCUCAGUUCAGAUUGAAGUCUGCAGCUCGACUUCAUGAAGGCGGAAUCGCUAGUAAUCGCGGGUCAGCAGACCGCGGUGAAUACGUUCCCGGGUUUU
rnacentral:rRNA from 1 species